UGGGGAAUAUUGCACAAUGGGGGAAACCCUGAUGCAGCGACGCCGCGUGAGUGAAGAAGUAUUUCGGUAUGUAAAGCUCUAUCAGCAGGGAAGAAAAUGACGGUACCUGACUAAGAAGCCCCGGCUAACUACGUGCCAGCAGCCGCGGUAAUACGUAGGGGGCAAGCGUUAUCCGGAUUUACUGGGUGUAAAGGGAGCGUAGACGGCUAAGCAAGUCAGAAGUGAAAGGCUGGGGCUCAACCCCGGGACUGCUUUUGAAACUGUUUGGCUAGAGUGCUGGAGAGGUAAGCGGAAUUCCUAGUGUAGCGGUGAAAUGCGUAGAUAUUAGGAGGAACACCAGUGGCGAAGGCGGCUUACUGGACAGUAACUGACGUUGAGGCUCGAAAGCGUGGGGAGCAAACAGG
rnacentral:rRNA from 1 species